CUAGACAACUUGCAUGAUGUGUAUGAAUAAAUUCUAUUUAGGCGGCUAUGGCAGGAGAAGCAAAAAGAUUUGGAUUGGGGGAGACAAGGUACGCUGUGAUGCUUGUAUGGACUACAAUACAGGCAAGCUUUCUUCUCGGAAUCAAUAGGAGUUAUCUUCUGUGCCUCAUCUUAGCUAUCCGGUAUCUUAAUUGCGGUUCCACUAUCAGUUACAGAGAUAUUGGUGGUUAAUUUCUACAAGGAAAGUUUCAAACCAGAGACAGGUGUGUUUCUUGUACUCUCUCUAUUGUGAUGUGCGUCAUAUUUGUAUGGUGAAAUGAAGGAGAACAAGAAGACAGCAAAACCCAGAAACAGAAAUUACUCAAAUUCUUGAUCCAUGAUAGCAACGUGCAUUUCUUUGAUAUUUACCAUAUAGGAAUCCGGAUUGUGAAUGUGCGAGCAUAGCUGUUACACCAUCGUUGAGCUAAUAAUGUAAUGUAGGGAACUUGUUCUGCUAUUUGAUACGGUUAAAGGAGCAAUGGAUUCCAGCUUGCAUUCGUUGUCAAUUUUUUGUUUUACGCUUUAAUGUAAUUAAGGGCUAAAAGAAAUUAUUAUUAUUUUUUUUUCAAUCAAAAAAGACAACCAAGGAGUCUCAUCUGGUUAGACUUCAAAAAUAUUGUACCCUAGCUUUUUCAUUUGAUGUCCACCAUGAUCGCAGUUACACCCUUCUAAUCCAUCAUGAUAAUUUUUGUUUAGCUGGAUAUUCUUUUCUUUUUGCUGAAACAUGACAAACAGAAUAAUUUACCCCAAAAAAAAAAAAAAAAAAAAAAAAAAAAAAAGAAUAA